AAAAAAAAAGAGGAAGAAAAAAGGAAUCAUGAAAAUCCAUACAAAAUCUGUCAAGGCCCCAUCUGUGACUGCGUAUCAGAAUAUCACUAAGAAGCUCUGAGAAACAAAGUUCAUUCCAAGUCUAACGCAUAGUGUUUUUCGAUCAAUGAAAUUAAUUCAAGCCGGGGGAAAUGAGGGCGCAUACCAUGAAAAACUCUGUUCCUCCACUGAGGGUGGAAGGAAAGCAGCAUCACAGAUGUGUGUGUGGUCUUGGUUUUGGUGCAUGUAGCCAUGUUGAAACACUAAAGUGUUUUAUAAGCCAAAAUAAUCAGUGUGCUCAUGACUCCUUUUGAGAACCAGGUACACCUGCUGCUCCUCUGAGGAGUAUAAGGGCAUGAGUGAUCUCUGGUCUUGACAAGAAGAGGACUUAGAUUACAUAGGAUUGUUGCAAAAAGCAAGCUUUCAUAGCCAGCUACCUGAAGUAAUGUGGAAACAAAACUCCACCCUGGCCUUGAAAAUCCCCUGCAAACAUAUUUAUUUCCUUCUGAAUGGGAAUAUAUAAAGGUUAGGGACACUUAUUUGUAGGCUAUUUAUAUAUCUCCUCUUCAGGAUGUGAAGCUCGCAUAUUAAUGAAUUAACUCCAGGAAACAGGAGAACUAAAACAUUAACACUAUUCUAAUGCACCUUAUUAUUUUUAUUUUCCCUUUUUUAACCGUUGGAGUAUGCAAAUGUUCAGUUAACUGGUCCUCAUGUUUUCUCUUUAUUGAAUCGCUUUCACUACAGCAAAUAAAUAUUCAUAAAGAAAUGUGGACAAUCAAUCAUUUCAAAUAGUUCAAAGCCAUUUUCUUUCUAGACUGCAUAUAUUUUCAGCUGUAACUCGCCUUUAAUAUUUCAUUCAAAAGACAGACUUGUAGAAGGACAAUAGAGAUAAUGUGUCAAGUAGUAAUUAAAACAGGGAGUAAUGAUUAAAACCAUUUUGAUCUACAUUGUGCUCUGCCAGAUUCAUAAUCUCCUCUGUUUGUUAGGAUGACUUUCUACUUGCUUUAUACAGAAACUCAAAAUAAACUUCAUUUUGAAGACACCGAAGAAAACAAAGGAUUUUAACCCUGAGCUUGUGGGUCCAGAGCCCUUUCCAGUUCUGGAGUUUAGGUAUAUCUUCUGUACCAUCCUAGCAAGAUAAAUGCAAGCAGGCACUGUCCCUCCUGCUAAUACUGUGACUUCUCUGAGAAGUAAAUCCAGAUUACAGAGCAGAAGACAAGGAAGGGCCACCCCAAUGUGUACAGGUAAAUGUAACCCAUCUCACAAUUUAAGCUAAGAGCUUCGAAAGAAAUGAAAAUUAAAGAUCUUGUUAGCUUAUACAUUUAGCAAUCCUGGUUCAAAUCUAAGUAAGAAUUGUGUUCCUUGCCUCAUUGUAUAUUUUGGUAUCCAUAAACAUAUUUCACCCAAACUUAUCCUCUUUCCUGAUUUGUUGCUGACUUUAGGCCCUUGUUCAACUUAAAUACAGACUUAAAUAAAUUGAUUUAGGAAAGCAUUCCUCUUUGUGUUUAAUCCUGGGCAGACAUUCAACUUUGAAAUCAAGGGGACUUAUGAACAGCCCUGACCUUUGGGUCUAAAUGGUUCCCAAAUCAGUACACCGAUACAAAUAUAUUGGAAAAGAUACUAUCCAUGUCUAAUCAAAAUUUUAGUCUCUAAUUUCACAGGAAAAUACCCAAAGAUAACACAUUAUUCUGCUCAAGAAAUUCAUUUUAUAGCAUUUACUAGAAAGCCUUAAUUCACAUUGUUCUGUUUAUGCAAAAAAUUCCAG